AGCUCUGGUGGCCUACUGGUUAGAGCAUCCGCCUCAGAUGCGGGAGAUCGCGAGUUCGAUCACCGGUCGAGUCA